UGCAAUGCGAUAUUCUAAGCUACUCUCGCCUAUUUCUUACUGGUAAGGAUUUUGAACUCAGGUCACUGUCACGACCAACCGACCUAACCCAUGUAUGCAAGACUUCACCUUUGAAGCUCCCACCCACCAUUGUAGAUUAUGGGCUUUGCCAUCAUAAUUAACGCCUAAUCACGAAUUAUAUGAAGUAAUGUGUGUUUAAUUGGACUCUGCUACUGCAGAUUAAUUUGUCUUUCCAUAACUCCUCUGUCCACUGAAAUGUUUCAUGUACAGAAAAUUGUUCCCAAACCAUGCUGGGAUCAAUGCUGUGAGUGUUGUAUGUAUAUCAUGGAACUUCUUAAUGAUAAUCUUAUAAACUACGAAUGGAAACGGACAAGGAUACGGGGAUACGACCGACAAGGGAAUAGGUCAUAUUAACGAGAAGAAUUGUUGUAUGACUACAAAGGAAUACAACAUGAGGAUACGAGGGAAUACCAUUGUGUCCAUGCAUCUAGAGCAACACAACUUACUGAUAAUAGAGUACGAAUUUUAGCACAGAUGUAGUACUAAUUGUUGGAAAAUUUAAUAUUAAUAUUAUUAUAUUAUAUUUCUUAAUUGAAUGGAAAUUAUAAGUGAUGUCUUUUGGUGGAAAUAUGUGUCUAUCCUAAUGAAAAGUUGCAACUUUUGACUCAUGAAUAGUCACAUGUUUUCCAAAGAGGUAUCUCAAAUUCUAUAAAUAAGGAAGCCCCCAUGUCACUUAACAACUUUUACACUUACAUAUUCAAACAUAUAGUGCACUAUUGUUAAAGAGUUUUGUAAUGUCCCAUUGAGUUUGUUAUACCAUACUUAGAGCCUCUGUAUUUAGACCUCGUAUAAAUAUUCGGGGGACUCAAAUAUAAUUAUGUAAUAAAUGAAGGGACAAAUAUGUAAUAAGUGAGGAGCCUUUAGUCUACAAAAGGGACUCCUCACCCUCACAAUCCUCAAAGGUCACAUCCCCAAAGAGAGGCUCAUAUCCAGCAAUCCCCUCACACUCUCAAACUCUCUUUCUCUGGGGGACUUCCCCUCACCCUUGUAAUCCAUACAUACAGUUAGAGAGAAAUACAAUCAACAUCAGUGUGGAGGUAGCCCAAACAUUGGGGUGAACCACGAUACAUCUUGUGUUCUUACUUUCUUGCAGAUUCACGGUCGGAUUUACGUUGUUCCAAGACCCCUCCGGUUUUGUGUAUCAACAGAGUUCGUAUUGGUGAGUUUUCAACACAAUCGUGGUUCAUUGGAGCCUUGUGAUUUGGAGUGAUACUAUUAUAAGGACGUGGUCGUUGUAUCCUGGGAGACAAGCACUGAACAACCAUAAGCACCAUAGUGGGACGUAAACUUGUCUUAAGGACAGAUUGUACAAAACUUGCUUUAACCGUAUUUUCAAGUUUUUCUAAUCCAUUAUGUCAGGUUCAUUUAAUAUUGGUUAUGUACUCAUGUGCCUGCACCACUUCCAUAUAUAAGUGCAUGAAUUAUUUCUUGAUUUUCUAUGUGAUAGCAAUUGGACCAUAAUUUUUCCAACACUAAUAUCGAAAUAAUGACGAUUUUCGUAGCGUAGAUGUUUAUAAUCUAUCUAAUAAUCUAUAUGAACAGUUGGGAAUGGCAAGUGCACUGGAAACUUUAUGUGGGCAAGCAUAUGGAGCAGAGCAAUAUCAGAAACUUGGACUUCAAACGUACACUGCUAUAUUUUCUCUCAACAUGGUUUGUCUGCCUUUAUCUUUGAUAUGGAUAUAUAUGGAGGAGAUACUGAUUCUCACCGGUCAAGACCCUGCGAUUUCUCGCGAAGCCGGAAAAUACAUAAUCUGGCUUAUUCCUGUUCUAUUUGCUUAUGCAACUCUUCAACCGCUCAUUCGAUACUUUCAAACACAGAGUUUAGUAAUGCCUCUGCUGGUAACCUCUUUCGCCACCUUUUUAUUCCAUAUUCCUCUCUGCUGGAUUCUAAUAUUCAAGUCUGGAUUAGAACACCUUGGAGGAGCAUUAGCAAUCGGCAUUUCCUAUUGGUUGAAUGUGAUUUUUCUUUGGUUAUACAUGAAGUUUUCCCCUGCCUGUUCAAAAACUCGUGCUCCAAUUUCGAAGGACAUAUUCCAUGGAAUCGGAGAAUUCUUUCGUUUUGCCCUGCCUUCUGCAGUAAUGCAAUGGUAGCCAGUUUCUCCCUGUAUUUUAGUUUCAAGAAAAGAUUUCGAUAUGCUUAAUUUCUUAGUCUUACAUUUCUCUCUGUCCUUUGUCUUGGUUCUUGUUGAUGGUUGUAGCCUUGAGGGGUGGUCAUUCGAGCUGCUUAUAUUGCUGUCUGGAUAUUUACCAAAUCCGGCUCUUGAAACCUCAGUUCUGUCCGCAUGGUAAGUUUUCUGUUUUUGUUGCAUUUCAGAUGCCAAUCAGAUAUUCUAAGAACGAUGCAGGAAAAAUUAUAAUUUCAGUUUGAUCUCCAUUUAGAAAGCUCGUGGUUAUUCUAAUUGAUUGGUUUGGACAGUCUUCUGGCGAUUUCAACGGUCUAUGCAAUACCAUAUGGGUUUGGUGCUGCAGUAAGGUAUGCUCAAACAUUAAGCACUUAAGUCUUAACUCUGAAGUUCCAUCAAACUGUACAUAUUUGCGUGCUAAAUCGCAGUGCAGCUAAAUUUGCAUAAAAAGAUCUCUAAUAAGCAAUAACUUGUCUUUUUCUUUCCUUUGGGUGUUGUACAGUACUAGUACUAGAGUUUCAAAUGAACUGGGAGCUGGUAACCCACAACGUGCUCGUAUAGCUACUUUUGCUGCGAUGUUUCUUGCAGUCACAGAGACAAGUAUAACAACCACGACCCUCUAUGCCUGCCGGAAAGUAUUUGGUUACACUUUUAGCAACGAGAAAGAAGUCAUCGAUUACAUCACAGUCAUGGUUCCUCUAGUUUGCCUGUCUGUCAUACUAGACAGUAUACACGGGGUCCUUUCAGGUCAGUUGCCUUAUCUUCUGCGGGUAGUACUACACAAUUAAGCAUUGUUCUAAAGAAUGGUGUUUGGAUCUAAUGUUAUAUGUUUUUUGAACCGCUAAAUCAGGUGUUGCUAGAGGAACUGGGUGGCAGCACAUAGGGGCUUACAUCAACCUUGGAGCAUAUUAUCUUUGUGGAAUCCCCGUUGCUAUCGUGUUGGCUUUCUGGGCACAGCUAAGAGGAAGGGGCCUUUGGAUUGGUAUACAAGUUGGUGCUUUUGUGCAAGUCAGUCUGCUCGCUUUAGUAACAUGUUGUACAAAUUGGGAAAAGCAGGUUAAAUACUCGACCCUAACUCGAUCUUCUCCGCAUUCAUUUCCAAAAUUCUCUGUUUGGUUGCCAAGAAGUCGGGAGGAAAGAUGAAGAACAUUUUCUCUUACGAGUACAACGAUAUGUUCUUUUUGUUCAAACUCCCUACUUGAAAGCCAACCACAGACACAACAUUUCAUUAAGCACGACCUCCUUUUAUGUGGUUUCGAGGAUAUUAAGGUUGGUCUUUUUAAGUUUCAGGCAAGUAAGGCAAGGGAGAGGAUAUUUGACAGGAGCCCCCCUGGAAGUUAAUGCCUUGUGUGACAAGGCAGAGAGUAAUAACACAUUCGCAUAUCAUUGAUACAUAUAGGCUUGUGGCAUUCAGUCUUGACUACGAUCAAGUUGUAUAGACGUUUUGAAAUGCAACAUGGUGUCCCGAGUCUCCUGAUAGCAUUGCAUUUGCUACUCAAAAUCUGUAUGACAAUGAACGCGGGCAACAAAGAGCAGCUGAGUUCUGAUGACCCAUUGUUUGUACCCGAUUUUAAUCUAUCUGCCCACCCGUGCAAUCGUGGCCGUUGAGUGAGACCCUCCGAUAGCUUCGAGAGUAAAUAAAUGUUUUUGAUAACUUCUUUAAGAUUUUAUCAUUGGUUUUUAUCAUGAUAAUCAUCUUGGAGUUUUUAUUUAAAAUGUUUUGACAGCAACAAAGUAAAGAUGAUAGAAUCCUUCUCCCACGCAAUCACGUUUUGAUUUUAUAAGCAGUGUGAUUGCUUUCCAAUUCCACAAAUUCAAAUGAGAUGAAGGAUUGUUAAGGUGAAGAAAUUUUUCAUUGUGAUGGGAACACGGAUGGUACAUCACAUAUUUUUAUGUAAGUAAUGAUAAAUUUUAUUUUUUAAAUUAUUAACUUUUUAACCUACAAAUUCCACAAUUUGUAUAGUGAUACGUGGUGUAUCACCUCGUGUGCCGAUUACACUGAAAAAUCUCUCGUUAAGGUGGGCACGUGUUUGGGAUUUAUGACUUUGCAUGGCAGCAUGGGGAUUAGCUACCCUCCAUGCAAAUUAUGCAUGCACGGGGUGGUUGGUCAAAGCCUAAGAUGCCAAAAAAUAAAAAGAAGAGAUAAACAAUGCAAAUUAUGCAUGCACACCCCGGUUGGUCAAAGCCUAAGAUGCCAAAAAAUAAAAAGAAGAGAUAAAGAUGGAGUUUCAUCCCCACCAAAUGAUGAUGAGGGUGCCAAAUCACAAGAGGGUUUUGAAAUAUCAUGACUCUAUCCUAUUCUAUUGCAUGGUUUGAGUCGAUCUGGUGCACGUGGCUUAAGUGGGUAAUGCCAAGUGAGGAUCAUUUGUCACAAUGAAUAUCUUGUAUUCAUUUUGUUCGCUGAGCAGACUCACCUCAUAAAUGUAAAGCUCCAGACAACAUUCAAGGACCUUCGAGACAACACACAGAUCUAUCAUGUGCAAACUCUUGAACACACAGAUCUAUCAUGUGCAAACUUUUGCUUUAUGUGAAACCCUCUCAUCUUUGAGAAAAGUACGGAUCUUCCUAACUUCGUCAAGCAGACCUUGCAAUUUGUAGAAAUGGCUCUAUACUUGACAAUCGGCGACAUCUUGUAAUUUCUAGAAAUAGUUCUGGAGCCGUAGAAUCAAGUGAUCAAGGAGUACCUUGCAAUUUGUUGAAAUAGCUCUACUCCAAGUUCGGUUGACUAUUUAUCCAAAUCUCUAUCAACAAAAGGUCCUUGCAUCCUUGUUGGAAGAGGUCACUUCAUUAGCUUUCUCAACGAAGUGAGGUGUUACCAGGUUAUGUCAUUCGGCACAUUGAAAGCUGAAUGUUUAUUGAACUUCAUAGAAACUAGCAGUCUUGCCUUUAGGUUAUAGAACCCAAAGGUCGAGACAAGUUCCUUCCUCAGUCGCAGUUGUGAAAAACUGAAGUUAGCACCUCGUUCGACACCACCACCACUCAUUUACUCAUCGACUAAGCUCGAGCUCGGUCACCAAGUUGACAUGCUCCGCAUUCAACCGAAAAACAUAAUUAGCUAUUACCUAUUCGGCCUGGAACGCUUGAUAAUUUUUAGGAUAAACACUCAUAUAUCGAAAUUAACGCGCACAUAAGCCCUAUAGUAUUUGCUCUGUUUUUCUUGCUGUCACAUUGGCUCUGCUUUUGUAGCCUAACAAAUAAAGAUUUCCCAUAACUUCUCUGCUUUUAUGUAUACAAUGCCUUUCUCCUUAUCUCUUCGUAUCAUGUGCACCAAAAAUGGAGAUUUUUGGCAUGUCUACUUAGGCCAUCUCCAAUCGAUCCGGCCAAAGGGUCGUAAGGCUAAAAAUAGCCCGUUUUGACCUAAAAAUCAUCUCCAACCGAAGGUUAGGCCAAAGGGCUCUUAGGCCCCAUCCGGCCAAAAAUAGGAGAACUGACCAAUGGGCUGGCCAAGAGCAGCUAGCCCGCCAGCCUUAUAGCCCAACCCAAGCACAUGUUACCUGACGUCAGGUUAAAGUUUUAUUUUAUUUUUUGAUGAAAUUUAAAAGAAAAAAAAUCUAUUUUUUUUUAAUAAAUACCCAAGUCAUUUCUACCAUAUUUCUCACAUCAUUUUCACCAUUCCAUACUAUAUUACCUCAUUUUAUUUCAAUUAUUCACCAAUUUUUCACAUCCUUUUCAUUUUAUAAAGAUAAGAAAUCUGAAAGCUUAUUAAUUUAGCGACAAGUGGCACUCAAAAUAUAUCCGAAAAUCUUAUUUUAACAUUGUAGUUCAAUUCAAUUAACCAUAUUAAUUCAAUUAAAAUAAUAAAUUAUGUUUGGCCUUGGCCCUUUGGCCCCCUCGGUUAGAUAUGAUUUUUUGUCAAAGGGCUAUGUUUGGCCUAUGACCUUUUGGCUCUCUCGGUUGGAAAUGGUAUAAAAUAUGGCCAAACACUGUUCAUUAAAAUAUAUUUUGUUUUUCAGGGCUAAAGGGAGUCAUUUGGCCUUCUUUUCGGCCAUCUCCAACCGAAAGAGGGCUAAAUGGCCAUGUUCAACCUAUAGUCCUACAAUAAAUUAUAUUUUAAUGAACCGUGCUAGGCUGUAUUUUAUACCAUCUCCAACCGAAUGGGCCAAAAGGUCAUAGGCCAAACAUAGCCAUUUGACAAAAAAUCAUCUCCAACCGAGGGGGCCAAAGGGUCAUAGGCCAAACAUAAUUUAUUUUUUUAAUUAAAUUAAUAUGGUUAAUUAAAUUAAACUACCAUAUUAAAAUAAGGUUUUCAGACAUAUUUUGAGUGUCACUUGUUGCCAAAUGAAUAAGCCUCUGGAUUUCUUAUCGUUAUAUAAUCUCAAUAAUUUUUUUGAAUAGGAUUUCGAGUGACACGUGUCGCUAACGUGAGUAACUCUCCAGAUUUCUUAUCUUUAUGUAAUCUCAAUAAUUUUUUUGAUAGGAUUUCGAGUGACACGUGUCGUUAAAGUGAGUAACUCUCUAAAUUUCUUAUCUUUAUGUAAUCUUAAUAAUUUUUCGGAUAGGAUUUCGAGUGUCACAUGUCAAAAUGUAAUUGGUUGUGCAAAUUUUGGAUAGGAUACGUGAAACUUCUUAUCUUCAACUUUUAAUGUUGUAGGAAUGAUGUAGGUAUUUAUAGAAAAAAAAUUAGAUUUUUUUUUAAAUUCCUCAAAAAUAAAAUAAGAAAUAAAAUUCCAACGAUAAACUGACGGCAUCAAGACGUUAGCUAACCGUUGCUAAUUGGAGUCAUGCUGACGCUAGGUUGCCGUUAGCAUUCAAAUGGAUUGAACUAGAGGGCUUGACAUUUUGGAGCUGGAAGGCUGGCAAAAUGUCAAGCUUGACAUUCUGGCACUGGAGGGCUGGCUGGCUGGCUAGCUGGAAAUGGCCAGCCCACUGGCCUGGGGGUUUGGGCUUGGUGAGGCCCACGAGCCCUUUGGCCUAGCUUUCAAUUAGAGAUGAUUUUCGUGUCAUUCCGAGCUAUUUUUAGCCGUAUGACCUUUUGAUCGGAUCGGUUGGAGAUAACCUUAUUCCUUCAUAUCACCUCAUUAAUCAAAAUUGGUUGCUUCACUUUUUUUUUUUUCUUUUUAAUACGACUUUCUACCCUAAAUUUAUCUAAAUUUCGGAAAGAGGCUCGAAGUAUGGCCUAUAAUCUUGCCUGUCUUGUGGCCUAGCAAAUAAAGACUUAUAAUUGCCCUGUUUUUCUUGCUGUCAUGUUUGCUGUACACCAGGCAGCCUUUAUUCAUAAGCAAAGGUAAACUUUUGGCCUGUGCAUAUACAAUGUCCAUGAAAGGUCAAAACUUUCCAAAUCUCCAGCGUCCAUAGGCUAUUAGGCUUACUGGUUGAUCAUCAGCUCCUGAGGCAGCCUCCGCCUGAGUUCCGCCAUGGAAGAGAGCUUGCUAUUGCCAAAAUACAGAGAAGAGCAACAAAGAAGCAGUAGAAAUUCAAGCAGUAGUAGUAGUUGUCUAACAUGGGUUUCUUUUUUUGAAGAAGUAAAGAGGUUGGGAUGCAUAGCAGGACCAAUGGUUGCUGUGGUUCUAUCCCAGUACAUGCUGCGGUUUAUUUCAAUGAUGAUGGUUGGUCACCUGGGUGAACUUGCACUCUCCAGUUCCUCCAUAGCCAUCUCCCUCGCCGGCGUCACCGGCUUCAGUCUUUUCGUAAGUCUAUCUUCCUUCCAUCUUGUUUUAAUAUCCACUGCUGUUUUUUAUGUUUGGUUUCGGGUUGUGUAAAUGCCAAUUAACCUCACCAUACCUAGAAUGCACAAAACUUCCAUUCUUUUUUUAUGAACAAAACUUCCAUAUCUUUUUGCAAUGCGAUAUUCUAAGCUGCUCCCGCCAUUCGUAAGGAUUUUGAACUCAAGUCACUAUUAUUACCAAUUGGCUUAACCUAUGUAUGCAAAACUUCACCUUUGAUCUGAUCUGUAAUUGCCGGAUACGGUCCGAAUUCCGUAUCAAUACCACCGAAUUGAUUUAGUGUCUUGUUCAACCAUUUUUAAUAAUUAUUAAUUAAUUUCUUGUCUACGUGGCUCAAACAUUCAUGUCAAUAAAAAGGUAAGCUUCAUACAUGUAAUGCCAUCUUUUAACAGUUAAAUUCACAAAACUUAAUAAAGGUUCCAUUUGGCAACGAAUGUUGAUGUACCAAUACAACACAGGUUUUACUAAUGUGAGAAUAUUUUAUAUUAUAAGAAUGAAACAUAGGUUCUAUUAAUUUAAGAAUAUUUUAAUAUUUUAAUAACAUUUUGAUUAAACAAUUAAGAAAAUUAAUUAUUUUGAUGUGUUUUCAUUUUUGAUGAUAAUAACU
rnacentral:lncRNA from 1 species